rnacentral:rRNA from 1 species
UACGGAGGGUGCAAGCGUUAUCCGGAUUUACUGGGUUUAAAGGGUGCGUAGGUGGGUCUGGUAAGUCAGUGGGUGAAAUCUCCGGGCUUAACCCGGAAACUGCCAUUGAUACUAUAGGUCUUGAAUUAUCCUGGAGGUGAGCGGAAUAUGUCAUGUAGCGGUGAAAUGCUUAGAUAUGAACAUAGAACACCAAUUGCGAAGGCAGCUCACUAACGGGAUUAUUGACACUGAGGCACGAAAGCGUGGGGAUCAAACAGGA